rnacentral:SRP_RNA from 1 species
GCGCGCGGGAAGGGCCGGGGCCUCGCCGCCCCCCUAGCCCGUUAAGGGCUAGCCUGAAUGGGCGUCAAGCAGGGGCCAGUAAUCCGGGGGCUCGGAGGCCUGCUGGGGCGGAAGCCGCCUGGGGCCGGGGUGUUGAAGCCCGUCCCGCGGGGCCGGCGGAGGCGUGGGUGCCCGCUGGAGGGCGGGUGCUACCGUCUUAGCCGGGGAAACACGGCUAGGCCCGGAAGGGAGCAACCUAGCCCCGGACGCCGGCGUUCGCGGGGGCGCGGGCUGAGCCUUCCCGGGAGGGGCCCGCUCUAAGCGCUCCGAGCUUCUGGAGUCCGCGCGC